rnacentral:rRNA from 1 species
UGCGACCUACGGGGCGCAGCAGUGAGGAAUAUUGGUCAAUGGGCUUACGCCUGAACCAGCCAAGUCGCGUGAGGGAAGACUGCCCUAUGGGUUGUCAACCUCUUUUGUCAGGGAGCAACGCCGGCUACGUGUAGCCGGACUGAGAGUACCUGAAGAAAAAGCAUCGGCUAACUCCGUGCCAGCAGCCGCGGUAAUACGGAGGAUGCGAGCGUUAUCCGGAUUUAUUGGGUUUAAAUGGUGCGUAGGCGGAAUGCCAAGUCAGCGGUACAAUCGCGGGGCUCAACCUCGUACCGCCGU